rnacentral:rRNA from 1 species
CCUACGGGUGGCAGCAGUGAGGAAUAUUGGUCAAUGGACGAGAGUCUGAACCAGCGAAGUAGCGUGAAGGAUGACUGCCCUCUGGGUUGUAAACUUCAUCUAUAUGGGAAUAAAAUGUUCCACGUGUGGGAUUUUGUAUGUACCAUAUGAAUAAGGAUCGGCUAACUCCGCGCCAGCAGCCGCGGUAAUACGGAGGGUCCGAGCGUUAUCCGGAUUUAUUGGGUUUAAAGGGAGCGUAGGUGGAUUGUUAAGUCAGUUGUGAAAGUUUGCGGCUCAACCGUGAAAUUGCAGUUGAAACUGGCAGGCUUGAGUACAGUAGAGGUGGGCGGAAUUCGUGGUGUAGCGGUGAAAUGCUUAGAUAUCACGAAGAACUCCGGUUGCGAAGGCAGCUCACUGGACUGCAACUGACACUGAGGCUCGAAAGUGUGGGGAUCAAACAGGAUUAGAUACCCGGGUAGUC